CACGUACUGUGCGAACGUUAUUCGGAAUCACUGGGCUUAAAGGGUGCGUAGGCGGUUUAGUAAGUAGGGUGUGAAAUGCCAGGGCUCAACCUUGGCACGGCGCUCUAAACUGCUAAACUUGAGUGAGAUAGGGGUGUACGGAACUUCCGGUGGAGCGGUGAAAUGCGUUGAUAUCGGAAGGAACACCGGUGGCGAAAGCGGUACACUGGGUCUUAACUGACGCUGAGGCACGAAAGCUAGGGUAGCGAACGGG
rnacentral:rRNA from 1 species